AUGGUGCAGUCGAUGUCCUCAACAACGAGAAUGGACCGGUUGGUCAUCCCGACGAGAAGCCUCCUGAGGUCCGAGUUGGAAUUGACCCCGGUCAGCUCGAGGUCGUAAAUGUCAAACCUGAGGUGGUUGGCAAUGGCGGCGAUGAGGCUGGACUUGCCGGUGCCCGGCGGGCCGUACAACAGGUCGUCGACAAUUGACUGCUUCUGCUUCUGGUCCAUGGCUAGCGUGUCAAACGUGGAGGGAUGUUGGAGGUCAAUUGGGGACCACUCGUCGUAGCGUUCGUUCAUGUAGAUGCUGAGGCUCCUCUCCUGGUCCUUGAUGGCCUUAGCCGUGGUGACGAUGAAUGGGAGAUACUCUUUCAGGGCCUUCUCCUUGUGCCUCUUGUUGAAGCUCACCUCGUAG
rnacentral:rRNA from 1 species